AUGGCUCAGAACGAACGCUGGCGGCAGGCCUAACACAUGCAAGUCGAGCGCCCAGCAAUGGGAGCGGCGGACGGGUGAGUAACGCGUGGGAAUUUUUCCUGGAGUACGGAACAACCGAGGGAAACUUCGGCUAAUACCGUAUGAUAUCGAGAGAUCAAAGAUUUAUCGCUCUGGGGUGAGCCCGCGUCAGAUUAGGUAGUUGGUGGGGUAACGGCCUACCAAGCCUGCGAUCUGUAGCUGGUCUGAGAGGACGAUCAGCCACACUGGGACUGAGACACGGCCCAGACUCCUACGGGAGGCAGCAGUGGGGAAUCUUGCGCAAUGGGCGAAAGCCUGACGCAGCCAUGCCGCGUGAGUGAAGAAGGUCUUAGGAUUGUAAAGCUCUUUCGCUCGUGACGAUGAUGACGGUAACGAGAGAAGAAGCCCCGGCUAACUUCGUGCCAGCAGCUGC
rnacentral:rRNA from 1 species